rnacentral:tRNA from 1 species
GAGCCAGUGGCGCAACGGUAGCGCAAUACCCUUUUAAGGUAUGGGCUAUGGGUUCGAGUCCCAUCUGGCUCACCA